rnacentral:rRNA from 1 species
AACGAACGCUGGCGGCGUGGCUAAGGCAUGCAAGUCGAACGGACAUAGUGCGUAGCAAUACAAGCUAUGUUAGUGGCGGACGGGUGAGUAAUGCAUGGGUAACGUACCAUGGACACGGGAAUAGCGCCGGGUCCGUCGCAAGACGGAUCCUUUGCGAAAGUGGCGGUAAGACCCGAUGAACCCGGGAAAACACAUGUUUUCCCGGGCAAACGCUCCGGUGGUCUAUGAUCGGCCCANGUCCUAUCAGCUUGUUGGUGAGGUAACGGCUCACCAAGGCAACGACGGGUAGCCGGCGUGAGAGCGCGACCGGCCACAUCGGAACUGAGACACUGUCCGGACACCUACGGGUGCUGCAGCAACGAAUAUUCCGCAAUGGGCGAAAGCCUGACGGAGCGACGCCGCGUGCAGGAUGAAGUCCCUCGGGAUGUAAACUGCUGUCGGGGUUAGAAUAGAUUGACCAGCCCCACAGGAAGCCACGGCUAACUCUGUGCCAGCCGCC